AAGUCGUAACAAGGUUUCCGUAGGUGAACCUGCGGAAGGAUCAUUAAAUAAAUUAUUUGAUGCGUUUUUUUUUUUUUUUAUUAAAAAACGCCAUCUUAUUUUUACUGUGAACUGUUUUUUAUAUUUCAUAGUGCUUGAGGGAUGACUGGUAGCCAUAAAUGGACAGGCUACUGGGAUGUUUUUAACCGAGCUAUGGUCAGGCUUUAGGCCUGGUGUCCUAAAAUUUAUUAUUUACCAAAAAAGAAAUUCAGUAUAAAAAAAUAUUGUAACUAUGGGGCGUAAAAAACCUAUAAAAAAAACAACUUUUAACAACGGAUCUCUUGGUUCUC
rnacentral:misc_RNA from 1 species